rnacentral:tRNA from 1 species
GCCGAGGUAGCUCAGUUGGUUAGAGCACUGGUCUGAAGAACCAGGUGUCGGCGGUUCGAGUCCGCCCCUCGGCACCA